rnacentral:rRNA from 1 species
ACUCCUACGGGAGGCAGCAGUGGGGAAUAUUGCACAAUGGGCGCAAGCCUGAUGCAGCCAUGCCGCGUGUAUGAAGAAGGCCUUCGGGUUGUAAAGUACUUUCAGCAGUGAGGAAGGUGGAUAUGUUAAUAGCAUAUUCAUUUGACGUUAGCUGCAGAAGAAGCACCGGCUAACUCCGUGCCAGCAGCCGCGGUAAUACGGAGGGUGCGAGCGUUAAUCGGAAUUACUGGGCGUAAAGCGCAUGCAGGUGGUUUGUUAAGUCAGAUGUGAAAGCCCGGGGCUCAACCUCGGAAUUGCAUUUGAAACUGGCAAACUAGAGUACUGUAGAGGGGGGUAGAAUUUCAGGUGUAGCGGUGAAAUGCGUAGAGAUCUGAAGGAUACCGGUGGCGAAGGCGGCCCCCUGGACAGAUACUGACACUCAGAUGCGAAAGCGUAGGGGAGCAAACAGGAUUAGAUACCCUGGUAGGCGU